UUUUUUAUAUAGGAGGAAUUGCUGGAUAAUUCCAUAUCCUCGGAUAAAAUUAAUCGCCUCCGGGACUUUGAAUGUCACGAGCUACGGUCUGCGAGUCAAUUUGCAAAGUUGCACACGAGACGUGCAACUGCAUAAACGAAUCCGUUUGUCCCAUGCACCAUUUACACUCUCCUCUGCUGCUGACAUCUAAAUCGCUAAAGCGAUUGUGGUUUUACCAGGACGAAGGAUAGUCUCUUACGAAACCAGGGCGAGAUUCAUUGUUAAGUCUGCUCGAGGCAAAUUUAUUCUACGCUGAUUGCUGCCGUAGAGGAGAGCGAAAACUGAAUUGUUUCCGGAAAGCAAACCUGGAAAGAUCCUUUGUAAGACCAAAAUCUUCAGGAGAUUGACUAAUGGAAAAUUCGGAUCCCGACCUCAUUGCAGUGAAACAGUACUAAACAAUAGAUACUGUUUCACUGAUGUACAGGAAAAUAAAAGACCGAAACGUUCAAAAUAAUUAGAGAAGAAUUUAGAAACAAGUGUUGAUGUGUCUAACAUCUGGACCUGGCUUUUAUUAGCUCUUUUCUGACUUUUAAAAAUUAAAAUCUAUGAAAAUCCGCAUCUCCAGCGUAUCUCCUCUCGAACUGAUGGUACGUAGGCAUGUCUCGGAUCGGCGAGCGUAGAAGAAACUCACCGGAAAGCGAGAAAAACGAAUGGGAGCCGCGGAUGGGAUGCCGAAGUGGAUAAGAAAUCACUCCAGAUUACCUUGGCGUGGAACACGAUUCCACGAUGAAACGCCUCCUCGCUGUGCAGCGGUAUUCGCGUGUCGUACUCGUCAUUAUGUACGAGGUUGUAUUGCUUCUUAGAGGGCAUGCUGAGCCCAGCUGCAUUCGACUAUCCUCGUCCAGCCUGGCUGCAAUUAUAAUCAACGACCCAUUAGCAUUUUCAUGUGUAAAGAUAAAUGUAUCCUAUAUAUAGUGACCGCGCUUAAUUUAUUUAAUAAAUACGCGAGAUAGGGAGAAACGUUGAACUCUUUGUAGAUUCUACUCUUGUGUAUAUUUCCAAGAUUAUUA